rnacentral:lncRNA from 1 species
AUUUUCAUAAAUUUCCCCAAAACAUACAAAAGAAAAGACAUCAGCCAUCCAAAUGCCGUUCAAUUUAGCCAUCUUCCCUUGACUACUCCAUAGGUUAUCUUUUCCCUAGGGGUGGCAAUGGGUCGGAUGUGGCUGCACCUGGAAACGGAUCCGAAUAGUAUUCGUCUCCUAGUUUUGGACCUAAACCUGACUUUGUGAGUCCAAAAUUUGGACCAAUAAUGGGACCCGACGUUGGGUCUACCUGUCGAGUCCCGAGUCUGGUCAGGUCCAUUGCCACCCAGUGAGAUACGCGAGCUAUGAUUAUGAGUUUUUUUUUUUGGCCUUUUUCUUUACCAUCAUAUACUUAUAUUAUUACUAACAUUUACAAUAUUGAACAACAUUUAUUAAUACCCACAUACACCCAUACUAUUCGGGUCCUGCUAGACUCAGGCCAGGACCUAGACCCCGAAUAGUAUUUGGAUCCAAGGUUUGGACCAAAACUCGACUUUUUGGGUUCAAAAUUUGGACCCAUUCCCAAACCCAAGGUCGAGUCUACCUGUUGAGUCCACACGGUUUGAUCGGGUAUAGUUGAGUCCACACGGUUUCACCUGUCGAGUCUACCUGUUGAGUCCACACGGUUUGACCUGUCGAGUCUACCUGUUGAGUCCAUGAAAACGUUAGUUUUAUACGAGAGCAAUGCAUCAUACCUUUGGAUAGAAUACAAUCAAUAACACUUAGCUACAUGACAUAACGCAUCUAUGAUGACAACUUUUAAAUAAGUCACUUGUAUUAUUAACCAAAAUAAUAGAAGUGAAAAUGUUUACUGCUUCCGCACUAGAGACCUUCUAUUUUACUCCCUAUGAUAAAACCCAAAUUAGAAGUAAUUUUAUGAUCUCAGUUUUUGGGGAUGUAACAUGGUGAACUGGCCACCAACCUCAUAAAAAGUAAGAAAAAUAAGAUAAAAUUGAAGCACAUAUCCCAAGAUUGAACAAGGCCGACCAAUUUGAAGCACUCGAUUUUUUUUAUUUUUUAAAUAAUAAUAAGUGAGUUAUUUCUAAAUUUUAGAUAAAAAAAGCCCUCUCCAAUAGGCCCCAUACACGAAGGAGUUAAUAUACAAAUAAAAUUGUAUACCAUAAGACUAUUUAGUUUUGGUAUGAGGGGGUCACAAUCAUUUUUAGCCAUUGGAUAUGAAAUCCAAUAGAUAAAAUUGUGUCACAACAUUCGAAAAAUUUUAUUUUGGACUUUGUGACAAAAAAACGACACAUUUUCAACCACUUGAUUUCAAAUCCGACGGCCAAAUGAUGAUUAUGACUUUUCUAUAUCAAAAGUAAAUGGUCUCUUUGUAUACAUUUCCUAUACAAUAUACUCCCACAUGAGCAUUUGAUACAUCCUAACAAAAGAAAUUUAAUCUUGAGAAGUAGAUUUUCUUUUUCUUUUGAAAUAUUCAUCGACACUCCUUUUUGUGAAAUUAAAGGAAUCAAUGCUAGUUUCAAUUUAGGGGAAGGUUUCUAUACUUCCCCUACAAUAUAGAAGAUCUAUGCUUCUCCUACCAUCCAGCCGUCCAAUUUUGAUCAAGAGAGCCACUCACCGUUUGAUCUUAGAUCCGACGUCUCAAAAUAUUUUAUUUUUAAUUUUUUUAUACAAAUUGUAUGAAUAUGAAAUUUGGUAUGUGCCAUCUUCUCAUUGGGGCAACCUAUAAAAAAUAUUAAAAAUAAAUUUUCGAUAAAAUCAAAUGAUCAAAAUACCCUUUAAAAUUUUUAAGGCUAUUUUGGUCAUUUUAUUUUAUUAGAAAUAUUUGCUUUUAUAUUUUUCGCUGGUGCGAGUUAAUAGAGGAUUGGACGUACAAAACUUGGUGUCAAAAUAGUUUAUAAAAAAAUAAAUAAAAAUAAAAUAAUGUAGAGUCGUGACAUUGUGUUGAUACAAUCUUAACCCUCCAUUCAGAAUGGACGGCUGGAUUAGGGGAAACAUAUAAAUUUUAUGUACGGCUAGAUUAGGGGAAACGUAUAAAUUUUAUGCAGUAGGGGAAGCAUAGAAAGCUUGCCCUUCAAUCUAAAUAAAAAAAUGUCUCUAGAUGGGUUCCACUAAAACUGCCACAACUAGAUUGUAGAGAGGAAUGCUAAAGACAUGUUGUGGCAACACCUCAAAACAACAAAUGCUUCCUCAAAAGUUAUUACUUGUAGCCAAGAAAGUAGUGGGAGAGUUUUAUAAGCUCAAAAGUGUGACCUAAAUGUUUGUUUAAUUACUAAAAUUCUAAAAAACCCAACAGGUUGGAGUGUUACAACAUUACGUUAUGGCACAAGUGCUGUAAGGCUGGAAUGAAACUCCACAGGCAUUGUGGGUUUAUGCCAUAUUAUUUAGAAAUGAUCUUAUUGGAAGUACGGUUUUUUUUAGAGCAGAAUGAUAGAUUAAGAUUUAUAUGACCAACCCCAAAUAAUUAAAAACGCUUUAAUGAGGAAAAUGAUCUAAAAAAUUAUAUUUGGAAGGCAAGAAGACCAGGAUUUGGAUAGCACAUUUGGAAGGCAACAAAGGCGGUUAACAAGACCGGGCCCGUCCAUAGGCUUUUGGGAUGGUCUGGUUUCAAGCUUCAUGUAAGGUCUUUGGGAGGGCCUUGGCCUGGACUACCACUGGCACGUCCUGGGCCCUAUCCAAAGGUUCUAAUGCAUAUAUUCACAUAUAAUUAAUAAUAUUUUUCCAUAUUUAUAUAGGGCCCCCCAUUUUAUUUUAUUUUAUUUUGGAACUAAGCCCAAUGCUAAAUUUUUGGGCCCAGGCCUACCAUUCAUUUUUUUUGGCUAGGCUAGGUCUAGGGUUGGCCCUUCCCAAACCUGGCCCUUUAACAGCCCUAGUUGCAAGAUUGAAUAAAGUCCCAAGUCUGUUAGGAGCAUUUUAUGUUUCUUCAUAAGUUUGUCUCAAACAAGAAAUUCGACCUAUUAGAUUGGGCAAUGAGAGUUGAUGAAUUGAGUGUGACUAAUUAUAUACUUAAUAGUGUUGAAGGAGGCCAUUCCUCAUGGAAAAUUGAAUACCUAAACUAAGGUGUUGUAACUGUCCAUGUCAAUUGAAAGUUGGAAUUUCCCACGUAAUAUUUUGAAUUGAAAUAACAACAUAUAUUCUUUAAAGGAAUUGUAGUUGAAAUAACAUGUAGUUUUGCUGUAAAAGUUUUUAGGAUUAUCUGAAAAUCUAUAUUCAUAUCUAAUUAUAAAAUUUUAAACUUCAAAAAUAAGUAAAAUCACAUAGAUCUAUACGUAUAAAAAUCUUGAACUAUUUUUGGGGACUCAAAAUCGUCUUCUUUUUUUUUUGUUUUGUUUUUCAGAUUCAUACAUCUUGAUAUCAAGAUGAUCAAUUAGAGGGUUUUUAAACAUUAAAACAACCUUUUUCGAAAGAUUUUUGAAAUAAAUAUUUAAUUCUACAUUUUAAAGUUGCAACCUCAUAUAAACUUUUUCCUUUAAAACUUUCAAAAUAGCAAUUUGACCUCAAGAGAUGUUUGAGUUAGUGAUUCACAGGUUUGAAUUGAUUCUCAAAUAUGGUAUUCCAAAAGUACCUUUUUGGAGUUCUGCAGAAGACGACGCAGCUUGGGUUGACAUAUAGUGGGACUUGUCUGACGUAUUGCGUCAUAUGGAUUUCCCCUGUUCUCACUCCCAAAGUAAA